AAGUAGAAAAUAAGCAUAUUGGUUUGGUUGGGUAUCAGCAUCACAUUUUAGGAACUAAAAUUUUUGAAUCAUUGUGCAAGUAAUCAUACUUAAUUAUCCAGAGUUAAACCAAGGCAGAAAUUUUCCUUUUCCAAGCCUUGAAUCUUUGAAUCAAUGAACUUGGUUUCAACUCAUUCACAUCCAAUACUCCAUGGCUAAUCUACAUGUUCAAGAUCGACCAAAGCUAAUUUACAACUUCAUCAUGAAUUCUUUCAGGGCUUUACCGCCGUUACAGACAUUGCUGGAGGGUAUGCGGCCUGGACUCAGAAUCAGCUUCCGACAGAAUGAUGAUGCAGCAGGCUUGCGGGAGAAUUAGUUCCUACUACAAUAAGGUUGAAGACAAGAACCCAAGGGUUGAGUGAGGAAAAGAUCUCACAAAUGCAGUAGUAGCAGUAAAUAUGACAUUUACCGGCUGUAUGUGAAAGUAAAUGUC
rnacentral:lncRNA from 1 species